GAUGAACGCUGGCGGCGUGCCUAAUACAUGCAAGUCGAGCGAACAGACGAGGAGCUUGCUCCUCUGACGUUAGCGGCGGACGGGUGAGUAACACGUGGAUAACCUACCUAUAAGACUGGGAUAACUUCGGGAAACCGGAGCUAAUACCGGAUAAUAUAUUGAACCGCAUGGUUCAAUAGUGAAAGACGGUUUUGCUGUCACUUAUAGAUGGAUCCGCGCCGCAUUAGCUAGUUGGUAAGGUAACGGCUUACCAAGGCAACGAUGCGUAGCCGACCUGAGAGGGUGAUCGGCCACACUGGAACUGAGACACGGUCCAGACUCCUACGGGAGGCAGCAGUAGGGAAUCUUCCGCAAUGGGCGAAAGCCUGACGGAGCAACGCCGCGUGAGUGAUGUAGGUCUUCGGAUCGUAAAACUCUGUUAUUAGGGAAGAACAAAUGUGUAAGUAACGAUGCACGUCUUGACGGUACCUAAUCAGAAAGCCACGGCUAACUACGU
rnacentral:rRNA from 1 species